AUUGAACGCUGGCGGCAGGCCUAACACAUGCAAGUCGAACGAGUGGCGGACGGGUGAGUAAUGUAUGGGAAACUGCCUGAUGGAGGGGGAUAACUACUGGAAACGGUAGCUACUACCGCAUACCAUCAGAUGUGCCCAGAGGGGAUUAGGUAGUGGGUGGGGUAACGGCGCACCAAGGCGACGAUCCCUAGCUGGUCUGAGAGGAUGACCGGCCAAACUGGAACUGAGACACGGGCCAGACUCCUACGGGAGGCAGCAGUGGGGAAUAUUGCACAAUGGGCGCAAGCCUGAUGCAGCCAUGCCGCGUGUAUGAAGAAGGCCUUCGGGUUGUAAAGUACUUUCGGCGGGGAGGCGUUACCCGCAGAAGAAGCACCGGCUAACUCCGUGCCAGCAGCCGCGGUAAUAC
rnacentral:rRNA from 1 species